rnacentral:lncRNA from 1 species
AUAUUUUUCCCGCGAAGGGUUUUCUCGCCUCAAACUUUAGAAAAUCAUAACUAUUGAUCUAACCGUUCAGUUUGUUUCAAAUUCACAAGAUAGGUAGAAUUUAUCCUUAAAUUUUACCACAAAAAAAACUAACCGCAAAUUCACUCUUGAUCUUCUGGCAUCUAAGAAACCCUAGCAGACACUCCAAACCCUAAUUUACAAGCAUCCGAAAAACUAUUUUCCUUAUAUCUCAAAAAUCCGAACUCCAAAUGUCAUAAAACUUAUGCACAAAGUUUACUUACAUGAAAUUACACAUCCCUUGAAAUUUUGAGCCAAAACCUUGUCAAAUUGCUCAAGAUAUAGCUCAAGAGACAAACACUAGUAAAUCGGUUUACUUACCACCCUUAGAUUGCAUGUGCUGACUUCAAAAUCCAAUAACUUCUUCAUUCCAACUUAGAAUCCAGUAAGCAGUAUGUGAAAAGUAUAGCCGCAAAAGUGCUCUCUCCAAUCGCGGUCGCCGAUCCUCAAUUGCCAUCUGUACGCGUGCGUUAUGCCUAAAAG